CAGAUACUUUUUCCUGCCACCGAAUACAUUAGCAUGGGAUAAUGGAAUAGGACCCUGACCUCCUAUUUUCAGUUGGUUUUACUAACAGCGAGGUUCAUAUCAGGGUAAUGAUUAAUAGGGAUAGUUGGGGGCAUUAAUAUUUAAUUGUCAGAGGUGAAAUUCUUGGAUUUAUGAAAGAUUAACUUCUGCGAAAGCGUUUGCCAAGGAUGUUUUCAUUAAUCAAGAACGAAAGUUAGGGGAUCGAAGACGAUCAGAUACCGUCGUAGUCUUAACCAUAAACGAUGCCGACCAGCGAUUAGGAGACGUUGAAUACAAAACACCGCCG
rnacentral:rRNA from 1 species